AACGAACGCUGGCGGCAGGCCCAACACAUGCAAGUCGAGCGGGGACUUCGGUCCUAGCGGCGGACGGGUGAGUAACACGUGGGAACAUGCCCUUCGCUACGGAAUAGCCUCGGGAAACUGAGAGUAAUACCGUAUACGCCCUUCGGGGGAAAGAUUUAUCGGCGAAGGAUUGGCCCGCGUUGGAUUAGGUAGUUGGUAGGGUAAUGGCCUACCAAGCCGACGAUCCAUAGCUGGUUUGAGAGGAUGAUCAGCCACACUGGGACUGAGACACGGCCCAGACUCCUACGGGAGGCAGCAGUGGGGAAUCUUAGACAAUGGGCGCAAGCCUGAUCUAGCCAUGCCGCGUGAGCGAUGAAGGCCUUAGGGUUGUAAAGCUCUUUCGCCAGGGAUGAUAAUGACAGUACCUGGUAAAGAAACCCCGGCUAACUCCGUGCCAGCCGCCGCCGUAA
rnacentral:rRNA from 1 species